rnacentral:rRNA from 1 species
GGGGUGGUUGAUCCUGCCAGUAGUCAUAUGCUUGGUUCAAAGAUUAAGCCAUGCAUGUCUAAGUUUAAGACGUUACCGGGUUCGCUCGGUAAGCUUCCGAAACUGCACAUGGCUCAUUAAAUCGGUGGUAGUCCCUCACAAUCACGAUUCGUCGGCUUGUUCAGCGGCGUCUGUUUGGGUGGCAACACCUGGACGGGCGUCGUAUACGGGCAGGUCGGCGAGAUAUGGAUAUCUGUGGGAAUUCUAGAGCUAAUACAUGAAUUUUCCCACGCUCCUUGUCGGGCUAUGGGCAACCGUAGUUUGGCUUGGGCUCAAGCGUUCGUCUUUUUUAUAGCUGAGGGACUGCUAUCCAAGUAGUUGUUUCAAAUGAUUGAAUCCUGACGAACUUUAGCAAAUCGCAUAGAUGUUCCGACCGGCGUUCCUUCGGGGGCGUCGGAACAAUCGGGGCGGCGAUGGUUUGUAGGGUUUUCCGACUCAUCAGCCAUGUUGGUAAUCCAUGGGUUUACCAAGGCGUCGACGGGUGACGGAGGAUUGGGGUUUGAUCCCGGAGAGGGAGCCUGAGAGAUGGCUACCACUUCUAAGGAAGGCAGCAGGAUCGCAAAUUACCCAAUGCCAAAACGGUGAGGUAGUGACGAUCAAUAACGACGCGGACUCUCUAAGAGGGUCCGCGAUCGGAAUGAGCUCGCCUUAGAUGCUCGAGCAAGUAACGAUCGGAGGAAAAGUCUGGUGCCAGCACCCGCGGUAAUUCCAGCUCCGAUAGCAUAUAUUAAAGUUGCUGCAGUUAAAAAGCUCGUAGUUGGAACCGAGUACCGUGGUAGUUCCGCUCACCGCCGCGAGUGGUGUGGCGGACGCCCGGUUCAAAGCUGUCAGUGGGGCGGCGGUUGUAUGUGGCUUCGGUCAUGUGCAAUCGUCGUGGGGUCUCGGCCCCGACUCGCGCAGCUUACACCUGGAGCAAAUUAGGGUGUUCAGAGCAGGCGGCUCAUUCGAGCGCCUUGAAUAGGUCAGCGUGGGAUGUAAUCCGGCACCUACUGACUCUAAUCAAAGGCGGUUCUUCGGGGCCGUCGCAACUUCUACUUGUUGCUCAUCUCGGUGGCCAAGGGUCUCUCAGAGAGUAUUCAGUGGGAACGAUUGAUGGGGGUGGUCGGUGGCGUCGGUAUUUGCCCGUCAGAGGUGAAAUUCUUGGACCGGGCAAAGACCAUCAUCAGCGUAAGCACUCGCCAAGUACACCUCCCUCAAUCAAGAACGAAAGUCGGGGGAUCGAAGAUGAUCAGAUACCGUCGUAGUCCCGACCGCAAACGAUGCCAACCAGGGAUCAGGAGGCGUCGCAUGGACGGCCCUCCUGGCACCCCCGGGGAAACCUAGAGUCUUUGGGUUCCGGGGGGAGUAUGGUCGCAAGGCUGAAACUUAAAGGAAUUGACGGAAGGGCACCACCAGGCGUGGGGUUUGCGGCUUAAUUCGACUCAACACGGGAAACCUUACCAGGUCCGGACUCCGUAAGGAUUGACAGACUAAGGGACCUUUCUUGAUCCUGAGGGUGGUGGUGCAUGGCCGUUCUUGGUUGGUGGAGCGAUCCGUCAGGUCAAUUCCGUUAACGAACGAGGGUUCGACCCCCCAAAUAGUGGCAUGUCUGCCCUGCCAACUCGGGGUUCGUUUCUCUGCGGCGGGAUGUCAAACGGUUUC